CUACGGGAUGCUCCAGUGGGGAAUAUUGGACAAUGGGGGAAACCCUGAUCCUGCAAUGCCGCGUGUGUGAAGAAGGCCUGAGGGUUGUAAAGCACUUUCAAUAGUGAGGAAGGCAUGUAGAUUAAGAGUCAAUAUGCUUGACGUUAGCUAUAGAAGAAGCACCGGCUAACUCCGUGCCAGCAGCCGCGGUAAUACGGAGGGUGCAAGCGUUAAUCGGAAUUACUGGGCGUAAAGGGCGCGUAGGUGGUUUAUUAAGUUGUCUGUGAAAUACCCGGGCUUAACCUGGGCAGGUCAGGCAAUACUGAUAGACUAGAGUAUGGUAGAGGGCAGUGGAAUUUCCGGUGUAGCGGUGAAAUGCGUAGAUAUCGGAAGGAACACCAGUGGCGAAGGCGACUGCCUGGGCCAAUACUGACACUGAGGCGCGAAAGCGUGGGUAGCGAACAGGAUUAGAUACCCUGGUAGUC
rnacentral:rRNA from 1 species